AGUGAACGCUGGCGGUAGGCCUAACACAUGCAAGUCGAACGGCAGCACAGUAACCUCUUGCUCUUACGUGUGGCGGUUGCCGGCCGGUUAGUGACUCCUGCGUAAUCUACUUCUUCGUGGUGGAUAACGUCGUGAAACUGUCGCUAAUACGGCAUACUACCUAUGUGUGACAUCAUGGGACUUUCAGACGUUUCGCGUCUGAGUGAGCUGAUCUCGGGUUAGCUAGUUGGCGGGGUAAAGGCCUACCAAGGCGACGAGCCGUAGCUGGUCUGAGAGGAUGGUCGGCCACACUGGAACUGAGACACGGUCCAGACGCCUACGGGAGGCAGCAGUGGGGAAUAUUAGAGAAUGGGCGCAGGACGGAUGCAGCCAUGCCGCGUGGGUGAAGAAGGACUUCGGGUUGUAGAGCACUUUUGUUGGGAAAGAAAAGCAGCAGGUUAAUACCCCGGUGUUCUGACGGUACCCAAAUAAUAAGCACCGGCUAACUUCGUG
rnacentral:rRNA from 1 species